GUAGUUGAUUGUUGAUGGUGGAUGGACGCGAAUCGCGUUAGACUGUUGAACGAUCCGAGAUGGUGACAGUGUCCGCGAACAACGAUGUUUGCUGUUGGUGAAUGUUAGGGUGUGUAGAACGAAUGUGAUGUUCGCAUGGAGUUUUCUUUAAGCACUUUGUCAACGGCAAGCGCUUCAAUUGCCUGUGUAGCUUUUGCGAAAAGCGCGUUUGGUGAAUUCUUCUUGGACUUCACCUAUACGCUCCUCACAUGUGUAUUUCUAUGUUCCAGAUGGUUAGAUGCCUGAUUAGAAGGAUUAGGAUUAUGUAGAAGCAUUAGAUCUCAGAUUAAUAGGCUAGUUAAUUAGUUCUUAGGACUUUAAUUAGGUAUUAAAAUUUGGUCUUAGAGCUAAUUAGUCACUAGAACUAAACAGAGUUUUAGGAAUUAUCAAACUUAGAUUUCCAUAAAGAAAAACAUUUGAAGUAGUAUUAAAGAUUAAUUUUAGGAUUAAUUGUG
rnacentral:lncRNA from 1 species